rnacentral:rRNA from 1 species
AAAACAUCUCUUUUUGAUUAAAAUAAUAAGUUGACUCUGCCCAAUGAAGUUUUAAUGGCUGCAGUAUUUUGACUGUACAAAGGUAGCAUAAUCAAUUGAUUUUUAAAUGAAAUCUUGAAUGAAAGAGGUGAUGAGAUAUAUACUUUAUUUAAUUUAUUAAUUGAAUUUAAAUUUAAAGUUAAAAUUCUUUAAUAAUUUUAAGGGACGAGAAGACCCUAUAGAAUUUUAUAUAAAUAAUAUUUUUUUUAUAUAUUAAAUAUUAAAUAUAUUUAUUUGGGAGGAAUAUUAAAAUAAAAAAACUUUAAUUAUUUAUUUACAUUUAUUAAUGAAUCAUAAUUAUUUUAUAAAUUAAGUUAAAAAUUAAAUUACCUUAGGGAUAACAGCGUAAUAUUUUUUUAAAGAUCUUAUUAAAAAAAAUGUUU